CGGGCGCGGCGACGAUCUAAGUUCCUUGGAACGGGGCGUCAUAGAGGGUGAGAAUCCCGUAUGUGAUCGGCGACCAAGCCCAUGUGAAACUCCUUCGACGAGUCGAGUUGUUUGGGAAUGCAGCUCAAAAUGGGUGGUAAAUUUCAUCUAAAGCUAAAUACUGGCCAGAGACCGAUAGCGCACAAGUAGAGUGAUCGAAAGAUGAAAAGCACUUUGGAAAGAGAGUCAAAAAGUACGUGAAAUUGUUGAAAGGGAAGCGCUUGCAACCAGACCUGCCCGCGGGCGAUCAACCGUCCCUCGGGGGCGGUGUACUCGACCGCGAUCAGGCCAGCAUCGGUUCGGGCGGCCGGAUAAAGGCCUCGGGAACGUGGCUCCUUUCGGGGAGUGUUAUAGCCCUUGGUGCAAUGCGGCCCGCCUGGACCGAGGACCGCGCUUUGGCUAGGAUGCUGGCGUAAUGGUUGUAAGCGGCCCGUCUUGAAACACGGACCAAGGAGUCUAACAUCUAUGCGAGUGUUUGGGUGUUAAACCCAUGCGCGUAAUGAAAGUGAACGGAGGUGGGAACCCGCAAGGGCGCACCAUCGACCGAUCCAGAUGUCUUCGGAUGGAUUUGAGUACGAGCAUAGCUGUUGGGACCCGAAAGAUGGUGAACUAUGCCAGAAUAGGGUGAAGCCAGAGGAAACUCUGGUGGAGGCUCGCAGCGGUUCUGACGUGCAAAUCGAUCGUCAAAUUUUGGCAUAGGGGCGAAAGACUAAUCGAACCAUU
rnacentral:rRNA from 1 species